AGUGAACGCUGGCGGUAGGCCUAACACAUGCAAGUCGAACGGCAGCACAGUAAGAGCUUGCUCUUACGGGUGGCGAGUGGCGGCCGGGUGAGGAGUACAUCGGAAUCUACUUUUUCGUGGGGGAUAACGUAGGAAAACUUACGCUAAUACCGCAUACGACCUACGGGUGAAAGCAGGGGAUAUUCGGACCUUGCGCGAUUGAAUGAGCCGAUGUCGGAUUAGCUAGUUGGCGGGGUAAAGGCCCACCAAGGCGACGAUCCGUAGCUGGUCUGAGAGGAUGAUCAGCCACACUGGAACUGAGACACGGUCCAGACUCCUACGGGAGGCAGCAGUGGGGAAUAUUGGACAAUGGGGGCAAGCCUGAUCCAGCCAUACCGCGUGGGUGAAGAAGGCCCUCGGGUGGUAAAGCCCUUUAGGUGGGAAAGAAGAGCAGCAGGUUAAUCCCCCGCUGUUCUGACGGUACCCAAAGAAUAAGCACCGGCUAACUUCGUG
rnacentral:rRNA from 1 species